rnacentral:rRNA from 1 species
AACGAACGCUGGCGGCAUGCCUAACACAUGCAAGUCGAACGAGACCUUCGUGUCUAGUGGCGCACGGGUGCGGAACGCGUGGGAAUCUGCCCUUCGGUUGGGAAUAACUGAGAUAAAUUUCAGCUAAUACCUUAUAAUGUCUGCGGACCAAAGAUUUAUCGCCGAGGUAUGAGCCCGCGUAGGAUGAGUUAGUUGGUGGUGUAAUGGCCUACCAAGCCGACGAUCCUUAGCUGGUCUGAGAGGAUGAUCAGCCACACUGGGACUGAGACACGGCCCAGAAUACUACGGGAGGCAGCAGUGGGGAAUCUUGGAAAAUGGGCGAAAGCCUGAUCCAGCAAUGCCGCGUGAGUGAUGAAGGCCUUAGGGUUGUAAAGCUCUUUUACCCGGGAUGAUAAUGACAGUACCGGGAGAAUAAGCUCCGGCUAACUCCGUG